GCGAAUGAUUAAAUCUUUUUAACCCCGAUUAUUCCAUGAAGAUCAACUAAAUAGCAACAACACUCUAAUUUUUUAAUGACG
rfam:Ajellomyces capsulatus NAm1 scaffold_4 genomic scaffold, whole genome shotgun sequence.